CCUACGGGGGGCUGCAGUGAGGAAUAUUGGUCAAUGGACGAGAGUCUGAACCAGCCAAGUAGCGUGAAGGAUGACUGCCCUAUGGGUUGUAAACUUCUUUUAUAUGGGAAUAAAUUGUUCCACGUGUGGGAUUUUGUAUGUACCAUAUGAAUAAGGAUCGGCUAACUCCGUGCCAGCAGCCGCGGUAAUACGGAGGAUCCGAGCGUUAUCCGGAUUUAUUGGGUUUAAAGGGAGCGUAGGUGGAUUGUUAAGUCAGUUGUGAAAGUUUGCGGCUCAACCGUAAAAUUGCAGUUGAAACUGGCAGUCUUGAGUACAGUAGAGGUGGGCGGAAUUCGUGGUGUAGCGGUGAAAUGCUUAGAUAUCACGAAGAACUCCGAUUGCGAAGGCAGUUCACUGGACUGCAACUGACACUGAGGCUCGAAAGUGUGGGUAUCAAACAGGAUUAGAUACCCUAGUAGUC
rnacentral:rRNA from 1 species